GUGAGAAUCCAGCAGCACAUAUAUUAAAAUUUGAAUACUAUAGACAUCAGCAUGAACCAUGCUCAAGGAUGACAUGCAAACUUGUGAAACUUUCCUUUUUUCC